AUUGAACGCUGGCGGCAGGCUUAACACAUGCAAGUCGAGCGAGCGGCGGACGGGUGAGUAAUGUCUGGGAAACUGCCUGAUGGAGGGGGAUAACUGCUGGAAACGGUAGCUAAUACCGCAUACCAUCAGAUGUGCUCAGAUGGGUUUAGCUAGUAGCGGGGGUAACGGCUCACCUGGGCGACGAUGCCUAGCUGGUCCGAGAGGAUGACCAGCCACACUGGGACGGAGACACGGCCCCUGCUCCUACGGGAGGCAGCAGUGGGGAAUCUUCGACAAUUGGCGCAAGUCUGAUGCAGCCAUGCCGCGUGAAUGAAGAAGGCUUUCGGAUUGUAAAGUACUUUCAGUCGGGAAGCGGUACCUACAGAAAAAGCACCGGCUAACUACGUGCCAGCCGCCGCGGUAAUAC
rnacentral:rRNA from 1 species